AGAAGAUGGAAGAUGGCAACUCCGUUUUCACUUUGGAUCACCCUGGUCCUUUCUACUUCAUUAGUGGCAACAAAGAUAAUUGCAACAAAGGACAAAAGGUGCAAAUUAUUGUAAUAUCUCCUAGAGGUAAAACUCCUACUACCCCUUCUUCACCCACAACUCCGUCUCCUUCUGGUUCCGCCACCCCUCCGUCUCCUUCUGGUGGUUCCGCCACCCCUCCGUCUCCUUCUGGCGGUUCAGCCACCCCUCCGUCUCCUUCUGGCGGUUCCGCCACCCCUCCAACUCCUUCUGGGGGUUCCAUCACUCCUCCGGCGGCUGGUUCGCCUAAAGGAUCAUCUACACCAUCACCAGCGGGAUCACCGCCAUCUCCUUCUGCAGGUAAACAUCACAAUAUCAAUUUGAUUGGUUUAAGUAUUAGGUUCUUUGCAUUGUACGCUUUAAAAUUAUGAGUUCAAAAUUUAAUAUUUAUUGAAAUUUUAAUGAUUUUUCGCGUGUGUACUACUAUGCAGGUUCUACUACCCCACCACCCGCAACUUCAGCACCUUCAGCCACCACUCCGGCAGGUGCUCCGUCUAAAGGAUCGACCACACCCGGUACAUCAUCACCCAAUGGGGCACCAGUAGUAUCUCCACCAGCAGGUAAAUAGAAGCGGUUUAGAAUUUAAAUUUAAGAAGUUUCGUGAUUUUUUACACACACACUUAUAUAUACUCAGUAAAAUAAAUUUUAGUUAUAUAUAUAAAUAUUACAUUCGCCUCAGCAGGUAAAUCACCAACCUCAUCUCCUGCACCUGCUGGUUCAAUCGUAUCUCCGGCAACUAAUGCUCCGGUGCCGGCAACAAGUUCUAUGACUCCAACCGGAUCUCCGGCACCGACAGGAGGAGCUUCUGAUUUAUCGCCUUCACCAUCAUCAAGCUCAUUAGCACCAGGUUCAUCUGCUCUUUCGCCG
rnacentral:lncRNA from 1 species